rnacentral:rRNA from 1 species
ACGCUCGACACCUACGGGGGGCAGCAGUGGGGAAUAUUGCACAAUGGAGGAAACUCUGAUGCAGCGAUGCCGCGUGAGGGAAGAAGGUUUUCGGAUUGUAAACCUCUGUCUUUGGGGACGAUAAUGACGGUACCCAAGGAGGAAGCUCCGGCUAACUACGUGUCAGCAGCCGCGGUAAUCUGAGCGGGCUGGCAAGGC